rnacentral:rRNA from 1 species
GACGAACGCUGGCGGCGUGCUUAACACAUGCAAGUCGAACGGAAAGGCCCUGCUUUUGUGGGGUGCUCGAGUGGCGAACGGGUGAGUAACACGUGAGUAACCUGCCCUUGACUUUGGGAUAACUUCAGGAAACUGGGGCUAAUACCGGAUAGGAGCUCCUGCUGCAUGGUGGGGGUUGGAAAGUUUCGGCGGUUGGGGAUGGACUCGCGGCUUAUCAGCUUGUUGGUGGGGUAGUGGCUUACCAAGGCUUUGACGGGUAGCCGGCCUGAGAGGGUGACCGGCGACAUUGGGACUGGGAUACGGCCCAGACUCCUACGGGAGGCAGCAGUGGGGAAUAUUGCACAAUGGGCGGAAGCCUGAUGCAGCAACGCCGCGUGCGGGAUGACGGCCUUCGGGUUGUAAACCGCUUUCGCCUGUGACGAAGCGUGAGUGACGGUAAUGGGUAAAGAAGCACCGGCUAACUACGUG